rnacentral:lncRNA from 1 species
ACUGCAAAAGAGAGGCCUGAAAGGAUUUAUAUAAUUUGGGUUAGGAGACUGUAUCAAAAGCAUGUUAGCAAACGUGCACAUGGCUUGUACAGGGGGGUAAAAAGAAGGCAGGCCUAUUUAGGGCUGAGAAUUCUGCUUGGAUAGGUAAAGUGGGACCAGAUCCUGGAAAAAUUAUAUUUUGGGGGUCAGUCAUUAUUAAGUGGAAGGAGAUAAUAAAGAUUCUGUGAUAAGAGAUCAGCAUAACAAAUAAGUCAAUAUUUUAGAAAGCUUUAAGUCUUGGGUGCAAGCUAAGUUUUAGAUCCCCCAAAUUUCUCUAACUUAGCUAAAAACAAAUAUGGCCCACAACUAGGAUGAUAGCAAUGGAGUCAAAUAUUUGGGAAUAAAUCAGAGAUUUGAAGAUAAGAGUCCAUCAUUCAGGAUUUGUUAUGAUGAACUGAGUAUAGGAGAUGAUGUUCAGGGAAGUAU